rnacentral:lncRNA from 1 species
UCUGGCCUCAGGUUGAAGAGGAGGUUAAUAAUUCAUCUUGCCGUGAGAUAAAGCACAUCAAAUAUGGCAGCCCUUGAGGGAGUGCUCUAAAGACUCGGUGCAAGGUGUUUGGACCACAGCCUGGCCGUGACACAACCUGAACCUUUGCCUUUGCUCUCUGUUCAUCUGUGCCACUCAAUAACUGCUGUGAGCUGGGGGAUGAUGAUUUCUCAUCAUGGAGAAAUACGUCUUUCUGAAAGAGCGGACAAGUGAAUCUUCUGUGGGAGGAAUGUUCUCAUUUCUGAACAGAAGAGGUCCCUUCCAAACAAAAACAUUCCCUCCUAUGACUCUAUGAUUGACAGGGGAUGGACAGGCGGUUGCAAGAAAACAGAGCAAGGAGGAGAGCUGAC